GAUGAACGCUGGCGGCGUGCCUAAUACAUGCAAGUCGAGCGAACAGACGAGAAGCUUGCUUCUCUGAUGUUAGCGGCGGACGGGUGAGUAACACGUGGGUAACCUACCUAUAAGACUGGGAUAACUCCGGGAAACCGGGGCUAAUACCGGAUAAUAUUUUGAACCGCAUGGUUCGAUAGUGAAUGACGGUUUCGGCUGUCACUUAUAGAUGGACCCGCGCCGUAUUAGCUAGUUGGUAAGGUAACGGCUUACCAAGGCGACGAUACGUAGCCGACCUGAGAGGGUGAUCGGCCACACUGGAACUGAGACACGGUCCAGACUCCUACGGGAGGCAGCAGUAGGGAAUCUUCCGCAAUGGGCGAAAGCCUGACGGAGCAACGCCGCGUGAGUGAUGAAGGUCUUCGGAUCGUAAAACUCUGUUGUUAGGGAAGAACAAAUUUGUUAGUAACUGAACAAGUCUUGACGGUACCUAACCAGAAAGCCACGGCUAACUACGUGCCAGCCGCCGCAGUAA
rnacentral:rRNA from 1 species